UAUCAAGGAGCAGGGAAGCAUGAAGGCAUAAUCUCAUUGUCCCUCCUGUGUUUUAUCACUUUGUCUUUUCUCCAUCUACUUAACUGACUUGGUAGAAUACAAACACUCUAUCAUUUGCAGUCAGACAAAGUAAGGGUUGAUCUCUGGUUCUUUUGCUAGCUCUGUGCCUCUAAAGGGAAAAAAAAAGUAACUGACAUAAGUCUCAAUUUCUUUUUAGUAAAUGAUACCUACCUUACUGGUUUGUGGAAAGGUUUAAAAAGGUGAUAUGUACAUAUAUAUAUAUUCUUUUUGGAGCUAUUAUUCACACUUUUCACUAAGCAGAAGACACAGAGGCCUGCUAUUAGGACAUGUCUCUGAGGAUACAGAAAUUGUUUGGGGAGUACAGUGGUAUAAUAUUGAACACAUUAAAACCUAUCUGGAGCUUUGGAAAUCAAAUAUACAGACAUUCCAUAAUGACCCUUGGGUUUUAGCAUAAUUCCUGAACCUGAAAAUUCAUAACUAAAUAAUGGCAGCACAUUUAUGACAUAAAAUGCCUUAAACCAUUUGUUUAUUAUUAUAUGUGGAUUUUGAGUUUUAUGUUUAAGAAAAUUGAAAGCCUACCCUUUAGUUUUUUUUUUUUUUUCCAUUUUGGAAGAGUGAUAUACCAAUUACCUUUGAGAGACGUUGUUUUUCUCCCUGGAAGAGAGCUAAACUAGGACUGAAGUUUAUGUCAAGACAUCCAUUUGGUUAUCAAACCUGUGAUCAUGCACUCUUAUUAAACUAAACAAAAUUAAAUUAAUAUUUGUUGAAAAAUAGAUGAUGUAAUUCCUGAAGAACUCUGUUUUUCUCCCAGGAUGGUGGCCUAUUUCUUCAAAGUAGCUUGUAGGAAAACAAAGCCUAAAAUAGUUCUUUAAACUGAAAAGAGGAAAUUGUUUUGAGUCUUGCAGGUGUCUAGAAGGAGCUACUACACCUGAGUGAUCUUUGAUCUUGGGGCCAUCCUUAUAAGACUAAAUUAUAUAUGCAAUUUUCCUGAGACCAAAUUCAAAGCCUGAACUCUUAAAUUAAUCUGGAUAUUAUUUUUUCCUGGAGUUCUAAAACAAGCCCAGGGAAGAUUAGAAGGCACUCAUCUGACUGAGACGCAUCCUCUGACUUUUCUUGGAAUGGAUUCCUUAUGUGGACACAAUGUGAUUUGAAUUGCAUCUGGUUACUGUUUUCAGAAAAUUUUGUUGAAAUUCAAACUGAGCCUGUGUACUGUAAGCUGAUUUAUCAGUGCCUGCCCAUGUGAGAACCAGAAAGGAACUGGGAGGUAUAACUGUGGGGAGGUUGCUCUGGGGUCUUUCAUCCAGGUACCUAUUAAAGGGACAGAUUCCCAGGCCAGAAGGAGCAAAGGCAAUAUAUUCCCAGAGAGAGAAGUCUUCCCUUGAGGCUCUGAAAACAGCUAGAGAAGAAACAACAGCAGCAUGACGGAACAAAAAAUUUGAAGUUAAACACAGCCG
rnacentral:lncRNA from 13 species